rnacentral:rRNA from 1 species
AAGGUGGUAGUGUUAAUAGCACUAUCAUUUGACGUUAGCGACAGAAGAAGCACCGGCUAACUCCGUGCCAGCAGCGCGGAAUACGGAGGGUGCGAGCGUUAAUCGGAAUUACUGGGCGUAAAGCGCAUGCAGGUGGUUUGUUAAGUUCAGAUGUGAAAGACCCGGGGCGUCAACCUCGGAAUAGCAUUUGAAACUAGGCAGACUAGAGUACUGUAGAGGGGGGUAGGAAGUUUCAGGUGUAGCGGUGAAAUGCGUAGAGAUCUGAAGGAAUACCGGUGGCGAAGGCGGCCCCCUCGGACAGAUACUGACACUCAGAUGCGAAAGCGUGGGGAGCAAACAGGAUUAGAUACCCUGGUAG